ACGUGUAGCGGUGAAAUGCGUAGAGAUGUGGAGGAACACCAGUGGCGAAGGCGACUCUCUGGUCUGUAACUGACGCUGAGGAGCGAAAGCGUGGGGAGCGAACAGGAUUAGAUACCCUGGUAGUCCACGCCGUAAACGAUGAGUGCUAAGUGUUAGGGGGUUUCCGCCCCUUAGUGCUGCAGCUAACGCAUUAAGCACUCCGCCUGGGGAGUACGGUCGCAAGACUGAAACUCAAAGGAAUUGACGGGGGCCCGCACAAGCGGUGGAGCAUGUGGUUUAAUUCGAAGCAACGCGAAGAACCUUACCAGGUCUUGACAUCCUCUGACAACCCUAGAGAUAGGGCUUUCCCUUCGGGGACAGAGUGACAGGUGGUGCAUGGUUGUCGUCAGCUCGUGUCGUGAGAUGUUGGGUUAAGUCCCGCAACGAGCGCAACCCUUGAUCUUAGUUGCCAGCAUUCAGUUGGGCACUCUAAGGUGACUGCCGGUGACAAACCGGAGGAAGGUGGGGAUGACGUCAAAUCAUCAUGCCCCUUAUGACCUGGGCUACACACGUGCUACAAUGGACAGAACAAAGGGCUG
rnacentral:rRNA from 1 species